GAUAUUUUACGGCAAAGUAAUGGAAACAUUAUGACGCAAAGCUAUAGGGCCUGUUAAAUGGUAGCCAGUUGCAAUU
rfam:Fusobacterium varium ATCC 27725 genomic scaffold supercont2.1, whole genome shotgun sequence.